rnacentral:lncRNA from 1 species
UGCUACAUGACCUCAAUUCAUCCCUGUGCACUGGAGAGAUGUAUCCUGUGCAGUAAAACUCACCUACUGUCUUGGAAAAAGAAAUGUGAUCACUGAAUAAAGAAAUCAUCAAGAAGUGCACAGUUAGACAGUUAAAUUAUACUUGUGCUAACAACCCUGGUUUCCUGGGUUUUGCUAACAAGCCUGACCAUUACUAAAUACACCCUUCUAGCAACAUGUAUGUAUCUGGAGAGAUCCACAGUGCUUCUUGACAUUUUAAAACAAAAGUGAAAGGGAAGAAUCAUAUAGUAACAAACUGAGUUCAGCUCCCUUAAAUCAACAAGUCUAGUUUUAGAUUCUCUACUUCCACCUUUUAAGCCAACGCACAGCUGGCUGUAACAUUCCUCGAUAUGGACAACCACUAGAUGGGAAGAAGCUGCGCUCUUUGCUACCAAGUGAUUUGUUGACAACAGAGAAACAACAAGCCACCAUCUCUGAGCAGCACUACAGUAGUAGCCACAGACAAUUUUUUUUCAGGGCUUCAGACUAACUGGUACUUUUCAGUCUCUUCAUUAUUUCUUGUGUUUAGUGUUUUGUGGCAGGUGUGACUUUUGAGUGCAGUUUGAUUUUUUUUUUGGGUGGUGGGGUCUUUGAAUCUGUCUUGAUUUCCACUAAAUUCUUCAGGAAGUUUGAUAGGGAGUCCAAGAGAGCGAUAACUUUAUCUGAACACGUAGAAACAUGCUUAUUCUUUUUUUUCCUAUUCUUUAUAUUGAUCACACAGGUCAAUCGUAUUAUGUACACCUAAAUUAACACUCCUGUUAAGCCUGCCCUCAAGGACAAAUGUUUCCUGGGAUAUCAAUUAUGUGCUCAGUUGUGAAAGGGGAAAAGAAAGACGUAAAAGAUCAUAAGUGGGAGGACUAUGCUGACAACCAUUAUGCAUGCCCAGGACACUAUCUUCAGUUUGCUGAAACAAAACAAAAAGCAAUAAUUUCUUCAGAAGCCCGUUAUGAGUAGCCCAUGGAUGCAUUUCUCUUCCCUGCACUGUGCCAAAGCAGCAGUUGAGAGACAGGGGUAACUGGAGGAGGUUGCAGUGGGCACCCACCCUUGGAACACUGCUGUGGCCCUCAGGAAAAAAUCUGAUUUCCAACACAGGGAAGACAAUUCUUCUCAAAAAU